CUGGAGAUGGCUCAAGGUUAAGAGCACUGGCUGUUCUUCCAGAGGACCUGAGUUCAAUUCCCAGUAACCACA
rnacentral:tRNA from 1 species